GUUUACAUGAAAUUAAUUUGACACAAUAAAUCCCAGCAUAAGCAAACAAUAAUGGCAAUUUAAAUAUGGCAAUCCGAUGGUAAUGUCGAAGCUUUUCAUUCAAGUGAUGUAAUAUGACUAUGACAGAAGCGAAGGAUUGUUGUGUUGUGUCAAUGGAACGACGAGUAGAGAACUUUUCAGUGCAUCACCACAGCACCAUUAAUUGAAAUGAUAUAAGAAUCUAAUUAAAAAUACAGCUCAGUUUCGAAGAAAUCUCAAUAUUUACGCGAAAGAAUUUCAUAUGAUAACAAUAAUUCAAUGCCGUUUUAAAUAUUUUUAAAUUUAUUAAAAAUUGCCUUAAUUAUUGCCUUAAUGAAAGAGAAAAACUCUCGUUUGGGAUAUAAGUAAUGUGGAUGCCACGCCACUUCAACAAAUACAGCAAAUCGUAAUGUCUGACGUUAUGUUGUGACGACUAUAAAAAGAUAUGUGUGAAUAUGUAUCGUUCGAAUGAUAUAGUUAACAUACAAAAUUAUGACAAGUGACAAGUAUCAAAUUUUCAAAGGAAAAGUAAUAAAUAAUGGCAAACGGCAAACGGCACCGAUACUCGUGUAUACAUUUUGCGUACCAAUGUGAAGACAAUGAGCCCGUGAUGAGCUCAAAUAAUCAUAUCAGAUGUGAAAUGCGCACGUUUUUGUGUUUGUUUAAAUUUUAUGCACGGAUAAUUGGAAACACUUGUUACACUUUAGGAGAGAGAAAUUUUUGCUACGCAAUUAAAAGAAAGUUGUUAAAAACACUUUUU